rnacentral:rRNA from 1 species
CCCUUAGAUGUUCUGGGCUGCACGCGCGCUACACUGAAGCGUUCAACGAGUAUUCACCUUGCCCGGGAGGGUUGGGUAAUCUUUUGAAAACGCUUCGUGAUGGGGAUAGAUUAUUGCAACUAUUAAUCUUCAACGAGGAAUGCCUAGUAAGCGCGAAUCAUCAGUUCGCGUUGAUUACGUCCCUGCCCUUUGUACACACCGCCCGUCGCUCCUACCGAUUGAAUGGUCCGGUGAAAAUUUCGGAUACCGGCGUUGCUGGCGGUUCGCCGCCGGCGACGCUGGUAGAAGAUCUUUAAACCUUAUCAUUUAGAGGAAGGAGAAGUCGUAACA